rnacentral:rRNA from 1 species
GAAAGUAGGGCAGCUAUGCUCUUGGGAUGUGAGAUCCAGUGCCGGUUGGGAGAAGCCGUUACCCUUCGGGGAAUCUUCAAAAAACACACAACCCGGGGAGGGUUUGGCAAGCUGCUGACGCCGUAGCAUUUGCGUUGGAUCAGGUCAGAUCCUUAAACUGACGAUUGAGUCAGGCGUGUUAUCCCUAGAACCCUGCUCAAC